rnacentral:rRNA from 1 species
GAUGAACGCUGGCGGCGUGCCUAAUACAUGCAAGUCGAGCGAACAGAUGAUGAGCUUGCUCCUCUGACGUUAGCGGCGGACGGGUGAGUAACACGUGGAUAACCUACCUAUAAGACUGGGAUAACUUCGGGAAACCGGAGCUAAUACCGGAUAAUAUAUUGAACCGCAUGGUUCAAUAGUGAAAGACGGUUUUGCUGUCACUUAUAGAUGGAUCCGCGCCGCAUUAGCUAGUUGGUAAGGUAACGGCUUACCAAGGCGACGAUGCGUAGCCGACCUGAGAGGGUGAUCGGCCACACUGGAACUGAGACACGGUCCAGACUCCUACGGGAGGCAGCAGUAGGGAAUCUUCCGCAAUGGGCGAAAGCCUGACGGAGCAACGCCGCGUGAGUGAUGAAGGUCUUCGGAUCGUAAAACUCUGUUAUUAGGGAAGAACAAAUGUGUAAGUAACUAUGCACGUCUUGACGGUACCUAAUCAGAAAGCCACGGCUAACUACGUG